rnacentral:rRNA from 1 species
AACACAAACCCCGACGCUGAAUGCGUCAAGGAAUUUAAAAUUUGCUCUGAGCGCAUCGACAUACACCGGAGACGGUUUUUGUGUUGGUUGUGUUCUGACGCGUGAUAUAGAAUGACUCUCGGCAACGGAUAUCUAGGCUCUUGCAUCGAUGAAGAACGUAGCGAAAUGCGAUACUUGGUGUGAAUUGCAGAAUCCCGUGAACCAUCGAGUCUUUGAACGCAAGUUGCGCCCGAUGCCAUUAGGUUGAGGGCACGUCUGCCUGGGCGUCACAUAUCGAAUUCACUUGCCAAUUUCCUAUUGAGAGGUAUUGUGCAGGGUGAAUGUUGGCCUCCCGUGAGCUCCAUCGUCUCAUGGUUGGUUGAAAAUCGAGACCUUGGUGGGGUGUGCCGUGAUAGAUGGUGGUUGUGUUACACACGAGACCAAGUCAUGUGCUGCUCUAUCGAAUUUAGCCUCUUUUACCCACAUGCGUUUCUAAACGCUCGUGAUGAGACCUCAGGUCAGGCGGGGCUACCCGCUGAAUUUAAGCAUAUCAAUAAGCGGAGGAAAAGAAACUAACAAGGAUUCC